rnacentral:rRNA from 1 species
AGAGUUUGAUCCUGGCUCAGGAUGAACGCUGGCGGCGUGCCUAAUACAUGCAAGUCGAACGAGUUCUGAUUAUUGAAAGGUGCUUGCAUCUUGAUUUAAUUUUGAACGAGUGGCGGACGGGUGAGUAACACGUGGGUAACCUGCCCUUAAGUGGGGGAUAACAUUUGGAAACAGAUGCUAAUACCGCAUAAAUCCAAGAACCGCAUGGUUCUUGGCUGAAAGAUGGCGUAAGCUAUCGCUUUUGGAUGGACCCGCGGCGUAUUAGCUAGUUGGUGAGGUAACGGCUCACCAAGGCAAUGAUACGUAGCCGAACUGAGAGGUUGAUCGGCCACAUUGGGACUGAGACACGGCCCAAACUCCUACGGGAGGCAGCAGUAGGGAAUCUUCCACAAUGGACGCAAGUCUGAUGGAGCAACGCCGCGUGAGUGAAGAAGGCUUUCGGGUCGUAAAACUCUGUUGUUGGAGAAGAAUGGUCGGCAGAGUAACUGUUGUCGGCGUGACGGUAUCCAACCAGAAAGCCACGGCUAACUACGUGCCAGCAGCCGCGGUAAUACGUAGGUGGCAAGCGUUAUCCGGAUUUAUUGGGCGUAAAGCGAGCGCAGGCGGUUUUUUAAGUCUGAUGUGAAAGCCCUCGGCUUAACCGAGGAAGUGCAUCGGAAACUGGGAAACUUGAGUGCAGAAGAGGACAGUGGAACUCCAUGUGUAGCGGUGAAAUGCGUAGAUAUAUGGAAGAACACCAGUGGCGAAGGCGGCUGUCUGGUCUGUAACUGACGCUGAGGCUCGAAAGCAUGGGUAGCGAACAGGAUUAGAUACCCUGGUAUUCCAUGCCGUAAACGAUGAAUGCUAGGUGUUGGAGGGUUUCCGCCCUUCAGUGCCGCAGCUAACGCGUUAAGCAUUCCGCCUGGGGAGUACGACCGCAAGGUUGAAACUCAAAGGAAUUGACGGGGGCCCGCACAAGCGGUGGAGCAUGUGGUUUAAUUCGAAGCAACGCGAAGAACCUUACCAGGUCUUGACAUCUUUUGAUCACCUGAGAGAUCAGGUUUCCCCUUCGGGGGCAAAAUGACAGGUGGUGCAUGGUUGUCGUCAGCUCGUGUCGUGAGAUGUUGGGUUAAGUCCCGCAACGAGCGCAACCCUUAUGACUAGUUGCCAGCAUUUAGUUGGGCACUCUAGUAAGACUGCCGGUGACAAACCGGAGGAAGGUGGGGAUGACGUCAAAUCAUCAUGCCCCUUAUGACCUGGGCUACACACGUGCUACAAUGGAUGGUACAACGAGUUGCGAGACCGCGAGGUCAAGCUAAUCUCUUAAAGCCAUUCUCAGUUCGGACUGUAGGCUGCAACUCGCCUACACGAAGUCGGAAUCGCUAGUAAUCGCGGAUCAGCACGCCGCGGUGAAUACGUUCCCGGGCCUUGUACACACCGCCCGUCACACCAUGAGAGUUUGUAACACCCGAAGCCGGUGGCGUAACCCUUUUAGGGAGCGAGCCGUCUAAGGUGGGAAAAUGAUUAGGGUGAAGUCGAAACAAGGUA